AAGGACUGAAGCUUGGAGGAGUGUUGAGAGAUUUGGAAGACCCAAGAAUUGGCCCUAGGGUUGAAAGAGUGAUGGGGUGUUUGAAGCUUAGGAAUUUGGACCAGUCUGAAAUUCCCAAGCUCCUGAUCAUUUGUUUCUAAGCACAAAGGCAGGAGAAUUUUCGACCUACUACAAGCUAUGAAAUGGGCUUCAGUUAUACAGAUCGACUUGGUUUUACAGUUCGGGUGGUGAAGGAGAGUAAACGACACAUGUAAUUAGGGAGAAUGAGUGGAGAUGAAGGGAAAGGCUCUGGCUGGAAUCUCCAAGGAACAGAAGAACAUAUUGCAAGCAGCAGGAUUCUAAGCAGCCCGAGCCCUGGUGACGAUGUGAGCCCUCAUAGGUGCAGUUGGAAAGCAGCAGGGAAUAGAGGGAAGAGUGAAAGACCUAGUCCUGAGCGUACAUCGCUGCCAAAAUAUUGGGUACCACCGUGCAACUCUUCUGUGCAACGUCCUAGUCACCAUUCCUUUGGGAUAAAUGUGUUUGAAUUAUGAAUGAAAGGGGAAAUGUACAUAUCCCUGCCAACAGAGAAGAAAUCAGACCGUGGUUCCAAACUGCCUCUUGCUUCGAUUGGUCUGUUCCCCUCCCCUCCCCGCAACUGUGAAGUUUUGUGGCUGCCUGGUGUUUGAGAGAGAAGAAUCAGCAUUUGUAUUUUAAUCUCUAAUAUUGCAUGAGUGUCACCACAAUGUUUAUUAUGAUUAUUACAGCAGCUCUUAGAGGUCCCAACUAAGCUGGGAUCUGUUGAGCUGUACAAACACAGACAGUCCCUGCCCCCCAAAAGUUGACCAUCUAAAUAGAAAUGACAGACUGCGGGUGGGGGAAAGGAAGAAUUAUUCUCCCUGUUUUCAGGACAGGAACCAAGGCAGAGAGAUUAAUGGUGGGAUUUAAAAAAAAAAAAUGCUGAAGGCUUUGGAGCCCAAGCGCUAUUGACUUUCAGUGUGUCUUGUGUUCCUCAGUCAUGCAGGCACUUCUGGGAAGAUCACAGAGGGGGUUUAUAACAGAGCUGGUAACUGAAUUUAGAUCUUUAGGCCAAUGCCUUAACCACAGGACAAACCUUCCUGUCCAAGGUCCGGAUUCAGCAAAACUCUUGAGUUUAUUGGGAACUAGGCAUGGGUUUAAACACGUGUUCAAGCACCUUUCUAAAUAGGGAAAUACAUGCUCAUAAAGGUAAGUAAUUGCUUUGCUGAACUGGGACUUAAGAUUGUUGGCAGAGCUAGUGAAAUAAUGGGGAAAAACAUACCUGACCAAUAUAAUAUGCUAAGGAUUUCAUGUUCACUCAUCAAAACCUUGACUAACGCCUACUAAAUAAAUUAAAAAAAAUCAUUGAAUACGUUUAUCAAACCCCAGAAAAGUCAGCAUGUAAUAUAUAUAGUCAUCAAAUUCUAUUCAACCAGCUCUAGUGGUUGGAUACAACGGAGUUUUUUCAUCUAAUUUUCCAAGCAGGAAGGCUGCCAAAAAAACAAAACCAAAAAAAAAAAUAAAUGAUGCUGUUAGAAUGUAGGGAGAGUUUUCAGCAGCCAAAUAUCUGAAUGAUAUGUAUAUGGCCACUUAGCAUCUCUCACACCCUGGAAGAGCUGCCUCGGCU